GGUGGUGGUGGUUGGUGGUGGUGGUGGUGGUAUUGAGUCCUCACCUCCUCUUCCUCUUCCUCCCGUCAGAAGGUGGCGCGUGCACUUUUGCCCCGCCCACUUACGAUCAUCGUGGGCGUGGCGUGGGCGGGGCUUCCUAUUGCUGUCAGGAGUGGGCGGAGGGUGUUUAUUUAUGAGAGAGAGAGAGAGAGAGAGAGAGAGAGAGAGAGAGAGAGAGAGAGAGAGAGAGAGAGAGAGAGAGAGACUGUUAUGAUUGUUUCUCUAUCACCUUCUCAUCCCUCUACUCCUUUUUCUCCUCCUUUCGUUCAUCUUCUCCUCCUCCUCAUUCUUCUUCUUCUUCUUCUUCUUCUCCUUAUCUUUCUACUCCUACUCCUCCUUCUUAUCAUUAUCAUUACUAUCACCAUCAUCAUCUACCGCUGUGCCCUUCUUCCACGCCUCAGUCACUAUCUGCAGGGUGCCGUUAGUAAUGCAGGUGUCCAGGUGUCACUACUCACCUGCUGGUAUGGGAGGAGACACGUAUGGACAGGUGAUGGCAGGUAAGGACAGGUAAGGACAGGUAAGCUGAGGUCGAGGCCAUGGAUGCAAAUAAAGUUAGUCAUGAGGCGUACAACAACAACAACAACAACAACAACAACAGCAACAACAACAACAACAACAACAACAACAACAACGAUGACGACAAUGACGACAACAACAGGGAGAUCGGCCAUCUUGAGAAGAAGGUGGCGAGAGGGUGGUCAUGUGAGUGGUCAAGACGGGGAGGUGAGGGACGAGAGGGGCAGUAGGCACACAUGAGUCCUUCUGUGGGCCGUGUAUGGGAGAGGCGCUCCUAGACUUGUAGCUGUAUUUUAGUUUGGCUUCUAUGUAGGAAGGAUGUUGAAGAUAUGAUAGUGUAUCGGACGAUAUUACCUUUAUCUCAAAUACCCCGAAGCUCCUCUACUAGUUUCACGGAGUUUGGAGGGAGAGCGGACUGGGAGAGUGUUAGACCGAGGGAGAGGCGCCGACAGGAAAAGAGUGCAGGGGCCGAAUGGAGACCGCUCACGGAAAAAUCACACAACCACGAGAGAGAAUGGAAGGGGUGGGGGGAGGGACGGAGGGCAGGGGUGGGGGCGAGGGCCGGGGGAGAGUGGUGAGUGAGAGUGAGUGUCGGGACCUUGAACUCUGAACUCAAGCCAAGCGGAUCGGAGGGAGCACUGCAGAAGGCGCCGACGAAGGAUCUCUCCCCUAUCAUCCCAGCAGCAUCCUACCAAGGCAGUCAGCACCUCCUUCAGCGUCCCCCGAAGAAGUCACACCUCUGUCCACCAUCCUGCACCCUGACCUAUCCCCCAUCCUCUCAGAAGCACCCAAACCCCUUCAGAGUAUUCAAACCCCAUUCUGGAAGCAUUCAAUCCCCUCCAAGUUUCUUCAGAUCCCCUUCAGAAGCACCAAAACCCAAUGAGAAGUUCUCGAUCGCCUCCAAGUGCCUUCAGAUCCUCUUCAAGAUCACCAAAACCCCUUUAUGAGUACUCAAACCCUUUUACAAACACUCAAUCCCUUUAAGAAGUAUUCAAAACUUUUCACAAGUAUUAAAAUCGCUUUCAGGAGCAUUCUAUCCCCUCCAAGUGCCAUCAGAUCCCCUUUAGAAGCAUUCAAAGAACUUUAAGAGUACUCAAAUCCUUUUAGAAACACUCAAUCUCUUUAAGAAGUAUUCAAACACUUUCGAAAAUACUAAAGUAGCCUUCAAGAAUAUCCAAAAUCCCCUUAAAGAACACACAUUCCCUUUUUCAGGAACACGAAUUCCUUUUCAAAAACACUCGAUCCCUUUCAGAAAAAAAAAAAAAAAUCCAACUCAAAAACACUCAGUUCUUUUCAAAAAACAUAAAAAAAAUCCCUUUCAGAAACACUUGAUCCUUAACAGAAACACCUAAAUUCCCUUCAGAAACACUCAAUUCCUUACAGAAACACCUAAAUUCCCUUCACAAACACUCAGUCCCUUACAGAAACACCACAAUCCCCUCCAGAAACAUCAACCCAUCUUCAAAAAAACACUCGAUCUCCUUCACAGACACAAGAUCCCCUUUCAAAAACACUUAAUCCUCUUAUAAACCCAUCCUAAACCAUCCAGAAACAAUCAAAACUUCCCUUUUAACCACACAUCACUACUACCCACCACCACCAUCUCAAUUCCCCUCUCACCUCACCUUCUCUCCACUUCAAGGACGCACACCAAGAGAGUGGUGUAAGGACGCGGCAACAUUGUGACUGCGAGUAUACAAGAGACCGUGACUAAAGUAUUGUAUUCAGAGUGCUGUCAAGACGCCGGUAUUGUUGAUGCUGCGUAAAAGGCUGAGGAAGUGAGAGAGAUGUUAUUGAAUUUAUUGAUCUAUGCACGAAUACUAGGGAAAGAAACGAAGCUGUUAUAUUAAGAAGAAGGGAGACAAAGAAGAUAAAAGAGAAGAAAAAGAAGAAGAGAAGAAGAAGAAGAAGAAGAAGAAGAAGAAGAAGAAGAAGAAGAAGAAGAAGAAGAAGAAGAAGAAGAAGGAAACGAUCUCAGUAAUAAUGAGAGAGAGAGAGAGAGAGAGAGAGAGAGAGAGAGAGAGAGAGAGAGAGACGAGAUGAGAGAGAGAGAGAGAGAGAGAGAGAGAGAGAGAGAGA